AGAAGAAGGUGUCGUCUGUCG
rnacentral:siRNA from 1 species